rnacentral:rRNA from 1 species
UACGUAGGUGACAAGCGUUGUCCGGAUUUACUGGGCGUAAAGAGCGCGCAGGCGGUCGAUCAAGUCGAGUGUGAAAGCCCCCGGCUCAACUGGGGAGGGUCAUUCGAUACUGAUCGACUCGAAGGCAGGAGAGGGUAGUGGAAUUCCCGGUGUAGUGGUGAAAUGCGUAGAGAUCGGCAGGAACACCCAGGGGGAAACCAGUCGACUGGGCAGCACCUGACGCUGAGGAGCGAAAGCGUGGGGAGCGAACAGG